rnacentral:rRNA from 1 species
CAACGCCGCGUGGAGGACGACGGCCUUCGGGUUGUAAACUCCUUUUUGUCGGGACGAGGAAGGACGGUACCGACAGAAUAAGCUUCGGCUAACUACGUGC